rnacentral:rRNA from 1 species
GAUGAACGCUGGCGGCGUGCCUAAUACAAGCAAGUCGAGCGAACGGACGAGAAGCUUGCUUCUCUGAUGUUAGCGGCGGACGGGUGAGUAACACGUGGAUAACCUACCUAUAAGACUGGGAUAACUUCGGGAAACCGGAGCUAAUACCGGAUAAUAUUUUGAACCGCAUGGUUCAAAAGUGAAAGACGGUCUUGCUGUCACUUAUAGAUGGAUCCGCGCUGCAUUAGCUAGUUGGUAAGGUAACGGCUUACCAAGGCAACGAUGCAUAGCCGACCUGAGAGGGUGAUCGGCCACACUGGAACUGAGACACGGUCCAGACUCCUACGGGAGGCAGCAGUAGGGAAUCUUCCGCAAUGGGCGAAAGCCUGACGGAGCAACGCCGCGUGAGUGAUGAAGGUCUUCGGAUCGUAAAACUCUGUUAUUAGGGAAGAACAUAUGUGUAAGUAACUGUGCACAUCUUGACGGUACCUAAUCAGAAAGCCACGGCUAACUACGUGCCAGCAGCCGCGGUAAUACGUAGGUGGCAAGCGUUAUCCGGAAUUAUUGGGCGUAAAGCGCGCGUAGGCGGUUUUUUAAGUCUGAUGUGAAAGCCCACGGCUCAACCGUGGAGGGUCAUUGGAAACUGGAAAACUUGAGUGCAGAAGAGGAAAGUGGAAUUCCAUGUGUAGCGGUGAAAUGCGCAGAGAUAUGGAGGAACACCAGUGGCGAAGGCGACUUUCUGGUCUGUAACUGACGCUGAUGUGCGAAAGCGUGGGGAUCAAACAGGAUUAGAUACCCUGGUAGUCCACGCCGUAAACGAUGAGUGCUAAGUGUUAGGGGGUUUCCGCCCCUUAGUGCUGCAGCUAACGCAUUAAGCACUCCGCCUGGGGAGUACGACCGCAAGGUUGAAACUCAAAGGAAUUGACGGGGACCCGCACAAGCGGUGGAGCAUGUGGUUUAAUUCGAAGCAACGCGAAGAACCUUACCAAAUCUUGACAUCCUUUGACAACUCUAGAGAUAGAGCUUUCCCCUUCGGGGGACAAAGUGACAGGUGGUGCAUGGUUGUCGUCAGCUCGUGUCGUGAGAUGUUGGGUUAAGUCCCGCAACGAGCGCAACCCUUAAGCUUAGUUGCCAUCAUUAAGUUGGGCACUCUAAGUUGACUGCCGGUGACAAACCGGAGGAAGGUGGGGAUGACGUCAAAUCAUCAUGCCCCUUAUGAUUUGGGCUACACACGUGCUACAAUGGACAAUACAAAGGGCAGCGAAACCGCGAGGUCAAGCAAAUCCCAUAAAGUUGUUCUCAGUUCGGAUUGUAGUCUGCAACUCGACUACAUGAAGCUGGAAUCGCUAGUAAUCGUAGAUCAGCAUGCUACGGUGAAUACGUUCCCGGGUCU